GACAGAGGUGCCGAGCGUUAGGCGGAAUCACUGGGCUUAAAGCGUGUGUAGGCGGACUUCUAAGUACCUUGUGAAAUCCCCCGGCUUAACCGGGGAACUGCUUGGUAUACUGGUCGUCUUGAGCCAUCUAGGGGCUGUCGGAACAAAUGGUGGAGCGGUGAAAUGCGUAGAUAUCAUUUGGAACGCCAAUGGUGAAAACAGACAGCUGGGGAUGUGCUGACGCUGAGACACGAAAGCCAGGGGAGCGAACGGG
rnacentral:rRNA from 1 species